GACGAACGCUGGCGGCGUGCUUAACACAUGCAAGUCGAGCGGUAAGGCCCUUUCGGGGGUACACGAGCGGCGAACGGGUGAGUAACACGUGGGUGACCUGCCCUCAGCUCUGGGAUAAGCCUGGGAAACUGGGUCUAAUACUGGAUAUGACUCCACGGUGCAUGUCGUGGGGUGGAAAGCCUUGUGCGGCUGAGGAUGGGCCCGCGGCCUAUCAGCUUGUUGGUGGGGUGANGGCCUACCAAGGCGACGACGGGUAGCCGGCCUGAGAGGGCGACCGGCCACACUGGGACUGAGACACGGCCCAGACUCCUACGGGAGGCAGCAGUGGGGAAUCUUGCGCAAUGGGCAAAGCCUGACGCAGCGACGCCGCGUGA
rnacentral:rRNA from 1 species